GCUACAGGAAGCGUUCUUGGGUGUGUUUUACAAUCCUAGCCAGAAACCACACUAAUAUAAGCUUUAUAAUUUGACCAUUUCAAAAGAAAUAGUCACAUUUGAUAAUUUAAUUCUCAAUAAACUAAAACAGGGAUUGUUAUGUAUAGAACGCUUUCGAUCAUAUGUCGGUUCAGACAACUCAUCUGAUUUUGCCCUUUCUACCAAUGUCUCCGUCUUGUUUACCUUAUCUUUCUGCAACAGAGACCAUUAUAACAUUACCUUUCAGUCAUUUGGACGAAUAUAUCUUUCUCGGCGCUUUUAGAUUUUGCGAGAGAAGUCAAAUCUCCUCAGCGAAUUAUUGAGUCACAUCCGCCAACUCGUAUGAAAUUAACAAAAUAAGAAAACAGCAUUGAUUUUCUAUGGUUCCAGCUUAUUUAUUUAUUAGAUAUAUUAUUAAUAAUUUUAACGUUUUUUUUUAUUGUUUUAAUUAUCAUAACUACCGUUUAACUUUUUUUUCAUUUACAAUGUUGUUGCUGAAUUUAAGGACUCGUGUUCUGGACUUCUUGAAAUCGAAAAAAAAAUUUUUUUUUUGAUUGGAAUAUAGCUUACUAAAAUCUACAGCAAAUUUCCAAGAGUGAAAAAAUUAUUUUUUAAAGUUAUCAGUAAAAUAAUGAAAGCAAUAACAUUCCGAUAUUGCCGUCAAAUUCCGCCGAGGGACUUUGCAUUUCAUGAUUUCACAGUCGAUAAAAGAAGGAUCAGUUGAACACUGAGGUUGAUGUAAUCCACUUACCCCUCCCCUAAAAUUGCUGGCUUUGGACCAAAAUUUGAAACCAAUAAUAUCUAAUAUAAAUUGAUGGUUUGGGGGGGGGGGGUCAAAAUUAAGAAAAUUGCAAAUUUUUUGUGGGGGAAAAAAAACGUUUAAAGUCAUAUUUUCCCUGAAUGAAACAUACGAAUACUAAAGAAAUAUUUUUUUUUAAAACCCACUCCCCAAUUUUUUGCUUUGCAUUGUUAGUGACAGUUAUUCCAAAACUUCACCAAAUAUUUUAAAGAGGAACCAAACUGUACUAUUAUUGAAGAACGCACAAACAAUUGACCUGCUUGAAAAAACAAAAUCCCGUUAUUGAAGAACUGCGUUCAUCUUGUACCAUUGACAACGAUAUAAACACGGUGAUGGUGCUGUUAGACUAAAAGCUCAUAUUCGAACGUGAAAAACGUAUGGUCACGUUGUUUUAUAUGUAAUAAGAUAAAGAAGCAUUACCUUGGUACGGCGUAAAGUAGUUACGAGUGACAGGUAAUCAUAUACGGAGAUGGAUAGAUAGACAGGCUAGUUUAAUUUCGGCAUUUUACUAUUAAUCGUUUUCAUGGCUAUUAUUGCAUCCUUCCUCCAUUACGAAGUAUGUACGAUAUUUCGUUUUAUUAUUCAGAACGUAAAGAUCAGUAUAAUAAAAAGAAAAGUAAAAUAUUUGGUAGUACUCGACUGAACUCGGCGAUGAAAUAAAAUUGGGAGAAUGUUUUAUCUUUGGAACUGAAAAGUUUAUUUUGGAAUUGUUCAUGUAUAGAAUAUAUGACUAACUUCUUAAAACAAUAAGCACCCGUGAGAAUUGGGACAUCAUUAACAAAAUAUGGAAGAACAAUUAACUUUCUUGCGUCGUUGGGAUUAAUUCGUAAUUCAGCAAUGUGCUGUUUGGGAUGCUGCGUUUGGUGAAUAGUAACACAUUCAGAUGAGGGAGAAAAAAAUCCAUCGGAUGUUGUCUAUACAAGGGGUUAUCAAAGCAAGCAAGCAAGAAGCAAAACAAGCAAGCGCAUGGAACAACUCCGGACGUGUUGCGAUCGUAUUGUAACCUCAUCAGCGAAGCAUAGCACUUGUCAUAUUUGAAAGAAGAAUUAACAGGUAAAACUGACGUAAAAGAAAUAAUGAAAUUGCUUAGAUAUAAAUCAGACACCAAUCAGCAUAAAAAACAAUACUUACGUUCGUAUUAACAUUAAAGCUAGAAACAUUAAAAAGUUAAUGGCGAUCUUGCGGAGAAAGUCAUGUAGAUGUCAUUGAUCAAAUCAGCAAUUUUACCUAUUUAUUCGGCAAUUUCCGGUCAUAAUUUUCUAUUUUCAUGUGCUGUUCGAAUCCGACAUUUCCUUUCAUCUCCGUGAGUGAACUGAACAGUCCCCUCUCUCCCUCUCUCUCUCUAUAUAUAUAUAUAGGCGGAGGUAAAAAUACGCAAACCACCCGUUUUCGGCGCAACCCUAACUCUAGACACCGGGUGUGCGUAUUCUUUACCUUCGCCAUAUAUUGUUUUAUUUACAUAUAUAUAUAUACAAAUAAAAUAAAACAAUACAAGAAAAAAAACAACAACGCGAGCAUGUGGUACAUGCAAAGUAUUAAUGAGACGCUCAGGCAAUGAAAGGGUAUUUUACGUUUCGAGCAAAGCUCUUCUUCAGAAACAGGAGACAGAGGAAAGUCCAAGAGAAAAGGAAGACGAAGGAAAAAAAUCGCCAACAAUAUAUACACACACACACACACGCAGCUUUUUUGUUUUCACAAAUCGUUUGCUGGUACUACUAAAGCAGAGUGGUCCCGAACGCGCACCCGCGCUAGCUAGUCGUGAGUGGUCGAUCCUACAAAAAGUGCGCGUACGCGUGUGAAAAUGAAUACAUGUGUUUAUGUUUAGGGUUAGCUAGCGCGGACGCGCGACUGCGCGUUCGGGACCACUCUGCUUUAGUAGUACCUCGUUUGCUUGUGUAUUUUUUUGUGCAUGUGUUUGUGUGUAUGGAUGUAUAGGUCAGUGUGAGGACGUAUGUACAAUAUGUAUUUUUGUAUGUGUUUGUGGGUAUGCAAGUAUAUAUAUGUGCAUGUGACCUAUCUUUCGGUCAGCAGCUGGGGUUAAUUUCUUAUUCAUGUCACCAGUUCUUUUUUGUUUCUCAAUAAACUAAAAAUCGCUUACCUUU